rnacentral:rRNA from 1 species
GUUCGUUGGGUAGGGGAGCGUUCUGUAAGCCUGCGAAGGUGUACUGUGAGGUAUGCUGGAGGUAUCAGAAGUGCGAAUGCUGACAUAAGUAACGAUAAUGCGGGUGAAAAACCCGCACGCCGGAAGACCAAGGGUUCCUGUCCAACGUUAAUCGGGGCAGGGUGAGUCGACCCCUAAGGCGAGGCUGAAAAGCGUAGUCGAUGGGAAACGGGUUAAUAUUCCCGUACUGGUGGUAACUGCGAUGGGGGAACGGAGAAGGCUAGGUUGUCCGGGCGACGGUCGUCCCGGUUCAAGCAGGUAGGCAGAGUGAUUAGGCAAAUCCGGUCACUUAAUGCUGAGAUGUGAUGACGAACCACCAAGGUGGUGAAGCAAUUGAUGCCCCGCUUCCAGGAAAAGCCUCUAAGCUUCAGGUUACCAACAAUCGUACCCCAAACCGACACAGGUGGUCAGGUAGAGAAUACUCAGGCGCUUGAGAGAACUCGGGUGAAGGAACUAGGCAAAAUGGUGCCGUAACUUCGGGAGAAGGCACGCUGGCGGUAGGUAAAGUCCCUUGCGGACGGCGCUGAAGCCAGUCGAAGAUACCAGCUGGCUGCAACUGUUUAUUAAAAACACAGCACUGUGCAAACACGAAAGUGGACGUAUACGGUGUGACGCCUGCCCGGUGCUGGAAGGUUAAUUGAUGGGGUCAGCCGUAAGGCGAAGCUCCUGAUCGAAGCCCCAGUAAACGGCGGCCGUAACUAUAACGGUCCUAAGGUAGCGAAAUUCCUUGUCGGGUAAGUUCCGACCUGCACGAAUGGCGUAAUGAUGGCCAGGCUGUCUCCACCCGAGACUCAGUGAAAUUGAACUCGCUGUGAAGAUGCAGUGUACCCGCGGCAAGACGGAAAGACCCCGUGAACCUUUACUAUAGCUUGACACUGAACAUUGAGCCUUGAUGUGUAGGAUAGGUGGGAGGCUUUGAAGUGUGGACGCCAGUCUGCAUGGAGCCAACCUUGAAAUACCACCCUUUAACGUUUGAUGUUCUAACCUAGGCCCAUAAACUGGGUCGGGGACCGUGUCUGGUGGGUAGUUUGACUGGGGCGGUCUCCUCCUAAAGAGUAACGGAGGAGCACGAAGGUUGGCUAAGCAUGGUCGGACAUCAUGCGGUUAGUGCAAAGGCAUAAGCCAGCUUGACUGCGAGAGUGACGGCUCGAGCAGGUACGAAAGUAGGUCUUAGUGAUCCGGUGGUUCUGAAUGGAAGGGCCAUCGCUCAACGGAUAAAAGGUACUCCGGGGAUAACAGGCUGAUACCGCCCAAGAGUUCAUAUCGACGGCGGUGUUUGGCACCUCGAUGUCGGCUCAUCACAUCCUGGGGCUGAAGUAGGUCCCAAGGGUAUGGCUGUUCGCCAUUUAAAGUGGUACGCGAGCUGGGUUUAGAACGUCGUGAGACAGUUCGGUCCCUAUCUGCCGUGGGCGUUGGAAGAUUGAGAGGGGUUGCUCCUAGUACGAGAGGACCGGAGUGAACGCACCACUGGUGUUCGGGUUGUCAUGCCAAUGGCAUUGCCCGGUAGCUAAGUGCGGAAGAGAUAACCGCUGAAAGCAUCUAAGCGGGAAACUUGCCUCGAGAUGAGUCUUCCCUGUCGCUUUAAGCGACCUAAAGGAACGUUUAAGACUAAGACGUUGAUAGGCUGGGUGUGUAAGCGUAGCGAUACGUUGAGCUAACCAGUACUAAUGAACCGUGAGGCUUAACCUG